UACGAACGAGGUUGAAGUCUUUAUUUUUGAGUCACACAUGAUUUCCUAGGAGACAUGCAGGAUUGCAGCUCGUUUAUCGUUUCAGCCCAUAAGUUAGAUUCAUGAAACACACUUUACAUCAGAACUGAGCGCCUGGUUCUAACUGGGUCUACAGGACCGGGUCCGAGUCAGUCAGAGUCCUAAAUCACAGCUUCAGGUUUCAGAGGGGAACUCCUCAGACCCGGAAAGAUCUCAGACCUGCUGAACCUUCUCCUCAACAUCUCAGCCGUCUGUUGGUUGAAGCUCCGAUUAUAUCAGCGGACACGGUCACAAGAACAUUUGGGUUCUGGAGUGUCGGUGGACUCAAAGUCCCGUGGAGUCACAUUCUCACCUCCGAGCGUCUCUUCAGACAGUACAUGCGUUGUGAUGACACAGCGGCGUGAUGGAGGAGGAGCGCGGCGAGUUAACGGUCAGAAUCAGACCUGCUCCUCAACGGUCCGACCGCUCUCAGGAAGUCGAGACAGUUUCAAAUAAAAAGUGAUUUUAAGAAACAAAAACAACAAGAGGCUGAAUCUCUGGAACUGGGAAUAAUAAAUAAAGUGUUCUGGUUCUGAUGGUUCUGACGGUUCUGAUGGUUCUGAUGGUUCUGGUGGUUCUGAUGGUCGGGCAGCUUCUCUGGUCUGACAGCAGCUCGCCUGAAAACUUUCAGUCAACAGUAAAAUACUCAGAGACCCCUAAUCACAGUG